ensembl:miRNA
AACAAUAUCCUGGUGCUGCCUGAGUGCUCCUUAAAGACUCCAGCAUCAGUGAUUUUGUUG